rnacentral:rRNA from 1 species
UACAGAGGUCUCAAGCGUUAAUCGGAAUUACUGGGCGUAAAGCGUGCGUAGGCGGUUCGUUAAGUUCGUUGUGAAAGCCCCGGGCUCAACCUGGGAACUGCAAUGGAAACUGGCGGGCUUGAGUGUGGCAGAGGGGGGUGGAAUUCCGCGUGUAGCAGUGAAAUGCGUAGAGAUGCGGAGGAACACCGAUGGCGAAGGCAGCCCCCUGGGCCAACACUGACGCUCAGGCACGAAAGCGUGGGGAGCAAACAGG